rnacentral:rRNA from 1 species
AAUUCCCCGUUUUACCGGGUAAAUGUGUAAAAAUUUGGAGGAAGGCCGGGGGGGAAGGGGGGCACUUUGGAAUUUUCCUGCCUCUGAGACUCGAAAGCGUGGGGAGCAAGCAGGAAUCGGUACCUUGUUAGUUCACGCCCUAAACUAUGGAUAAUAAGUGUCGAGGGUUACCGCCGGUGCCGCAGCUAACGCAUUAAGUAUUUCGCUUGGGAAGUACGGACGCAAGGUUGCAAGUCAAAGGAAUUGACGAGGUGCCGCACAAGCGGUCGAGCAUGUGGUCUAAUUCGACGCAUCGCGAAGAACCUUACCCAGGUUGGACAUGCACCUAGUAGAAGGGAGAAAGCCAGACGAGGUAGCAAUACCAGUGUGAUCAGGUGCUGCAUGGCAGUGGUCAGGUCAUGUCGUGAGGUGAGGGGUUAAGUUAAGCAACGAGCGCAACCCAUGCUUUCAGUCAGUAGCGGGUCAAUCAGAGCAUCUGUAAAAAAGGACUCAGCAUAAUAGGGAGGAAGAAGGGGAGGAUGAUCACAUGUCCACAUCGCCUAUAUGUGUGGGGCCACCCACGUGUUCCAAUGGCGGGUCCAAAGCGCUGCAAACCUGCAAAGGGGAAGCCAAUCGCAAAAAACCGGCCUCAGUUCAGAUUGAGGUCUGCAACUCGACCUCAUGAAGGCGGAAUCGCUAGUAAUCGCGGAUCAGCACGCCGCGGUGAAUACGUUCCCGGGCCUUGUACACACCGCCCGUCACACCACGAAAGCCUGUUGUACCUGAAGUCGCCCAAGCCAACCGCAAGGAGGCAGGCGCCCACGGUAUGGCCGGUGAUUGGGGGAAGUCGUAACAAGGUAGCCGUAGGGGAACCUGCGGCUGGUCCUCUACUGAGCUUGGAUC